GAUGAACGCUGGCGGCGUGCCUAAUACAUGCAAGUCGAGCGAACAGAUGAGGAGCUUGCUCCUCUGACGUUAGCGGCGGACGGGUGAGUAACACGUGGAUAACCUACCUAUAAGACUGGGAUAACUUCGGGAAACCGGAGCUAAUACCGGAUAAUAUAUUGAACCGCAUGGUUCAAUAGUGAAAGACGGUUUUGAUGUCACUUAUAGAUGGAUCCGCGCCGCAUUAGCUAGUUGGUAAGGUAACGGCUUACCAAGGCAACGAUGCGUAGCCGACCUGAGAGGGUGAUCAGCCACACUGGAACUGAGACACGGUCCAGACUCCUACGGGAGGCAGCAGUAGGGAAUCUUCCGCAAUGGGCGAAAGCCUGACGGAGCAACGCCGCGUGAGUGAUGAAGGUCUUCGGAUCGUAAAACUCUGUUAUUAGGGAAGAACAAAUGUGUAAGUAACUAUGCACGUCUUGACGGUACCUAAUCAGAAAGCCACGGCUAACUACGUG
rnacentral:rRNA from 1 species